CACUGGGCAAGUUGGCACAGCCCCUGCAAUAACCUCGGCAACAAUCUACAAAAGCGCGUCCCUCAACGAAGAGGCUCGCACUUCCCGAGCGAUCGGGACUUGGACAAAGGCGUCCUCGCCGGGCAACCGGCGGGACGCC
rnacentral:sRNA from 1 species